rnacentral:rRNA from 1 species
UACGUAGGGUGCAAGCGUUGUCCGGAAUUAUUGGGCGUAAAGAGCUCGUAGGCGGUCUGUCACGUCGGCUGUGAAAUCCCGAGGCUCAACCUCGGGUCUGCAGUCGAUACGGGCAAACUAGAGUAUUGCAGGGGAGACUGGAAUUCCUGGUGUAGAGGUGAAAUUCGUAGAUAUCGGGAGGAACACCGGUGGCGAAGGCGGGUCUCUGGGACGGUACUGACGCUGAGACGCGAAAGCGUGGGGAGCGAACAGG